UCCUAACUUCUUUCUUCCAUUGCUGAUCCCUCCCUUCACUUAUUUAGUCCUGAGGUAACUGUCUUGUCCUCAUUGCCGCUCUGCCACAAGGCAUUUUUUAUCCCCAGCCUUGCUUGCAAAAAUUUAGAUCAGGUUGAUAACCUGCCAAUAAAUUGCUUCUCAAAUCACGUGCAAUGCCAUAUUCACUCGAACUGCAUGAUUUCAAUUGCAGCCUUCUCUUACUCCUGAUAGGCUAGAUUUAACUUGUUCCAUUCAUCUCGAAGACAAUGAAGGGGGGAAGAAAGAUCAGAAGACUUUCUGGUAAGUAAUGUUCUCCUAAAACCUGGCUUUUGUGUUAAUUUCUAUACUCUGUUAGCUUGCAAUUGGGUUUAUAAUUAAGAAAGAUAGAAUGUAAUAUAGGUCCAAAGAAGCUUCAGCAUUGUAAACACAUAGAGGUGAAGUAAGAUUCUGCUUUCCAAAUAAGAAGUUAUGCAAAAAGACUACCAUUCAAAGUAGUUAAUUUUGCAAGAAAGCUGUUUUUCUUCGGAUAUUUUUAUUCGCUAACUUGCAGUAUCAUAGUUCUUGUACUGAAUCCUUACCUGAUAAAAUAAAAAGAAUUCAUCAGCAAUCUCACGUACUUGAUAGGAUGCUACAAAUAUGCAGCUGCAGUGUUCACAAACACUGCAAAUUUGUCAAAGUAUCUUCUUUCCUUCCACUCGAGCAUACAAGGCAUGGUAGUAUAGAUGUGCUGACUUGG
rnacentral:lncRNA from 1 species